rnacentral:rRNA from 1 species
CCCUUAGAUGUUCUGGGCCGCACGCGCGCUACACUGACGGAUUCAACGAGCUUACAACCUUGGCCGAAAGGUCUGGGUAAUCUCCAAAAUCCGUCGUGAUGGGGAUAGAUUAUUGCAAUUAUUAAUCUUCAACGAGGAAUGCCUAGUAAGCGCAAGUCAUCAGCUUGCGUUGAUUACGUCCCUGCCCUUUGUACACACCGCCCGUCGCUCCUACCGAUUGAAUGGUCCGGUGAAGUGUUUGGACUAUGGUUUUCUGAUGGUCCGCCGUUGGAUUACCGUGGGAAGUUCGUUAAACCUUAUCAUUUAGAGGAAGGAGAAGUCGUAACA